CGGGGGGGCGAAGCGUUGUUCGGAAGUUACUGGGCGUAAGGGACGUCGUAGGCGGCCAACUAAGUCGGACGUGAAAUCCCCAGGCUCAACCUGGGAACUGCGUCCGAUACUGGAUGGCUUGAAUCCGGGAGAGGGAUGCAGAAUUCCAGGUGUAGCGGUGAAAUGCGUAGAUAUCUGGAGGAAUACCGGUGGCGAAGGCGGCAUCCUGGACCGGCAUUGACGCUGAGGAGCGAAAGCCAGGGGAGCAAACGGGAUUAGAUACCCCGGUAGUCCUGGCCCUAAACGAUGAAUGCUUGGUGUAACGGGUAUCGAUCCCUGUUGUGCCGAAGCUAACGCAUUAAGCAUUCCGCCUGGGGAGUACGGUCGCAAGGCUG
rnacentral:rRNA from 1 species